UACGAAGGGGGCUAGCGUUGUUCGGAAUUACUGGGCGUAAAGCGCGCGUAGGCGGUGAUCUUUGUCAGAGGUGAAAGCCUGGGGCUCAACCCCAGAAUUGCCUUUGAAACGGGAUCGCUAGAGUCCGAGAGAGGAUGGCGGAAUUCCUAGUGUAGAGGUGAAAUUCGUAGAUAUUAGGAAGAACACCGGUGGCGAAGGCGGCCAUCUGGCUCGGUACUGACGCUCAGGCGCGAAAGCGUGGGGAGCAAACAGG
rnacentral:rRNA from 1 species